UAGGGAAUCUUCCACAAUGGCGCAAGUCUGAUGGAGCAACGCCGCGUGAGUGAAGAAGGUCUUCGGAUCGUAAAACUCUGUUGUUAGAGAAGAACACGAGUGNGAGUAACUGUUCAUUCGAUGACGGUAUCUAACCAGCAAGUCACGGCUAACUACGUGCCAG
rnacentral:rRNA from 1 species